UACGUAGGGGCGCAAAGCGUUGUCCGGAAUUUAUUGGGCGUAAAAGAGCUCGUAGGCGGUUUUGUCACGUCGGCUGUGAAAAACCCCGAGGCUCAACCUCGGGCCUGCAGUCGAUACGGGCAGACUAGAGUGCUGUAGGGGAGACUGGAAUUCCAGGUGUGAGCGGUGAAAUGCGUAGAUAUCUGGAGGAACACCGGGUGGCGAAGGCGGCAUCCUGGACCGACACUGACGCUGAGGAGCGAAAGCCAGGGGAGCAAACGGG
rnacentral:rRNA from 1 species